CUCACUGUUAUAUUGCCAGGAAACCUACCCUUCGCAACCAGAUCUCACAAUCAAUCGAAACCAUAUUUUACAAUGCACCUAUCUAUCCCUGUUCAACUCUGAUUAGGUUCCUCUUCCUUCCCCAAUGAAAAACAAAACAAAACAAAAACACACAGCCCAAACGCUUUCAGGGAGACUGACCUUUGGAAAAUCAUUUAUUUUGAUUUACCUCGGGGGUGUGUGUGUAAAAAUCCAAUCCCACAAGACAACUCCUUCUGCUUAGUUAAAUGCUCUCUCCGCAGCCUUCUGGGGUCACGCCUGUCGGAAGAAAUCCGUUUUGUGAGCGAAAGGGAGCGAGACAUAUAUCACGGCUCCUGCCGCGGACGAGCCUGCGGCCGUGCGACUCGCUGCUGACAGAUCGGCACUGAUAACCCCGCGAUGUUCAUUUCCAGUCCCUUGGCUGAGGACCGUAUCAGUUUGUACAUAGUUGUGAUAAUCUUUUAGAGGGAGAGAAGGUGUGUGUGUGCCUGCGCGUGUGUGAGGAUGGGGGUGGGGAACCAAUAUUUUGCGCUGUGUCCAGGGAAGGUACCACCCCACCCCCUUUCCAACUACUUAUUUGCAACCUACCUGAUGCCCAGGAAAAGCUCUGAGUAAACAUGACAACAAAACUGAACGUGCGCCCUAGGACACGACUGGAAGGGAACCCCUCUUCCAUCCUGCGCAUCGCACAGCCUAACCUUGCCUUACUUGACAACUCCAGGGUUAAAAGUUCCCUAAGGUUGGCUAGAGAGUAUCGUCGAAAACUUCCCGAAACUUCUCAGGAAUUUAGUAUAUAUUUUAAGAACUGGGGAGAGGUAGGGAGUUGGACAUCCAGGCCCCUUCUUUCCCAAGUCCUAGGAGCCCGGAUCCCCAAAGGCCACUACGACCUGAACUCUAGCAUCCCGAAAUAGGGUCGGGGAAAGUUUAAGGUCAGUUACACACAACUGCGGAGCAAAAACUUAUUUAACGUGGAGGGAGGAGUGAGGAGCGCCAGAGAAGCAAAGCACUUUCCCGGCUCAUUUUGGGGGCGCGCUGACCCAGGAGCUGGCGCGCCCCUCCCUCAGCGGUGGCGGCGCGAGACAGGUUCUCCGUGCCAAGGUUCCCUCCCCUACUCCAGGGUGUGUGUGUGUGUGUGUAACUGGGGGCGCGAGAGGGUGCUCUGUGGCAGGAUGGGUGUGGGUCGCCAGCCAGGUCAGGCGUUCUGUCGCCUCCGCCCCUCCCCCGGCUCCCUAGGCUCGGCGCCCCCUGGGUGGAAUCUCCCCAGCUACGGGGACGGUGCUAGCCACUCAGCCCACGCCAGUAGGCUGCGCGGCGCUUAUUGUCUGCCGGGGCGGCGCGCUCCCCUCCCCCCCCUCCCCACCCUCUUUUCUCUCCUCCCCUCGAUCCCUCCUCCUCCUCCUCCUCCUCCUCCUCCUCCUCUUCACCUCCGCGCCCAGCUGCUUCCAGAGCGCAGUUCCGACCCACAGCCUGGCACCCUCCGGCGAGCGCUGUUUGUUUAGGGCUCGGUGAGUCCAAUCAGGAGCGCAGGCUGCAGUUUUCCGGCAGAGCAGUAAGAGGCGCCUCCUCUCUCCUUUUUAUUCACCAGCAGCGCCGCGCAGACCCCGGACUCGUGCUCUCUCACCGGCGCCCUCGGCCUCUCUCUGAGCCCGGGAGCACCCUCCGCCGCGGCCGUUCUCCAUGCUCAGCGCUCGCCCGAGGUUCGGCUGCUUCCUCCUUUGCUUGUUGUCUCCCUACUUUCCUCCCUUCUACCCCUACCAGUCGCGGGCCUCUCGGCCUCCGGCCCUCUCCCGCCCGCGGUCGGCUCCGAGGGUGUCUCCCUCCUCCUCUCUGGGAGGGCUGCAGCGGCUCCCAGGUUCCCGGGACACCACGGACCAACUUCUGGUGUCUUUUCCUCUCCCCUAAGUGCUUAUCUGCGCGCAGCCUUAUCUCCGAGUUAUCUCAGUGCAAAGGGGCGGGAGCCGGUAGUCAGGCUGGUAGAGAAACUUCUGGCUAUCUUGCCCGGGUCUGUGUGUGGGCAUUAUAAUUUUUAGUGUGGUUAUCUCUGAUGAGCCGAAGCGAUUUGGAAAAGCAGCCUCGAGGAGGCCCGCCUGGCAGCUUUUUGCUUCCUUCCCCACCCCCUCUAAGUCUCCCUGUCAUUCUUCCUGCUCUCCCCUUUGGGGUGGCCUCGACUGCGGGGCGGUCUCCCGCCCCCUCCCUUGCGUUUCCCCCUCCUUUUCUCGGCUCUCUGCUCCACCCCGCUACGUCCUAUUCCGGAACGGUCUGGCCUUUCCCUGGCUGGGGAUAACCGCGGGGUGGGCCCGGGUAGCCCGGCCGGCGUGAGAUCGCUCGCUGGUGGCUGCAGACGCGGGCUGUGGCUAAGGUGUGCGGGCCCGCAGGGACGCCUGUGGGGCGUGAGGCUCCUGCCCCAUAGUUUUUCCUUACUAUUCCUGCCAGGAAGAUCUUGAACUGCCAUCCCAGCCCUGGCACCCCAGUUUCCCUAGGCUGAGUGCAUUUCUCUGGGGUUUGUGUUGGGUCUGGUCGGCACGGUUCGGAAAGCUCUGGGGACAAGCGGCGGUUUCGUUUUCAGGAGCAGGUUGCCUUCCUUGAGCUAGCGAUUUCCACUUGGAGAACAGGGAGGCAUUCCCGGAGAAGGGCACCCUGAGUGAGGCGGGAUGAGACACGCAAAGCUACUAUUCUUUUGUGUGUCAUCAGCCCGGAGGGAGCCACUCUGGGGCGGAAGGAAAACCUCCGCCAGUUUGGCGGUCACUCCUAGCAACUGGCGCGCGUGCAGAGGAAGGAUGCUGCGGAGAGGGUGGGCAGAGAGGGCUAGGGGGACCAAAGCCGUGCGGGUGAAAGAAGGAGGGUAUCCUUGGAGGACCCUGUGGCUGCUGCGCAGGCUCCAUUCUCCCUCCUCGACGCCGGGGUCCAGAGUAGAAAGGGACCUUUGAGGGAUCUAGAAGAGCUAGAAGAAGGAGUGGAGGUGAGGUGGUGCACUGCCUAAACCUUUAGUAAGGCCUCUUUAAUCUCUUUUACCGUCCCUGCCCUCCCAACCCCGCCUCAGGAGCUAAAAGCUAGCUAGAAGCAGCGCCGGACCGUGGAUGGCCUUGACUGACGGCGGCUGGUGUCUGCCGAAGCGCUUUGGAGCCGCGACUGCGGACGCGGGCGACUCCGGGACCUUUCCAUCGCGGGACCUCUCCACGCCGCCUUCCCCCAUCUCUUCCUCGUCCUCGUCCUCCUGCUCCCGCGGCGGGGAUCGUGGCCCCGGCGGCGCCAGCAACUGCAGGACGCCACAACUCGACACACAGGCGGUGGCGGGACCUGCGGCCCGCUCGUUGCUGCUCAGCCCCUACGCCUCGCACCCUUUCGGGGCUCCCCACGGACCUUCGGCUCCCGGGGUCGCUGGCCCCGGGAGUGCCUUGUCGAGCUGGGAGGACCUGUUGCUCUUCACUGACCUCGACCAGGCCGCGACCGCCAGCAAGUUGCUGUGGUCCAGCCGUGGCGCCAAGCUGAGCCCCUUUACACCCGAGCAGCCCGAGGAGAUGUACCAGACCCUCGCCGCCCUCUCCAGCCAGGGACCCGCCGCUUAUGAUGGCGCGCCCGGGGGCUUCGUACAUUCUGCAGCAGCUGCAGCUGCAGCCGCGGCGGCAGCCAGUUCCCCAGUCUACGUGCCCACCACCCGCGUGGGUUCCAUGCUGCCAGGCCUGCCGUACCUGCAAGGCGCGGGCAGCGGGCCCUCCAACCAUGCGGGUAGCACGGGGGCGCACCCUGGCUGGCCCCAGGCCUCAGCCGACAGUCCCCCAUACGGCAGCGGAGGCGGCGCGGCGGGCGGUGGGGCCGGGGGCCCUGGCAGCGCCGGCUCCGCCUCGGCGCAUGCCUCUGCGCGCUUCCCCUACUCGCCGAGCCCUCCCAUGGCCAACGGCGCAGCGCGGGAGCCUGGGGGCUACACUGCAGCGGGCAGCGGGGGAGCGGGCAGCGUGAGCGGCGGCGGCGGGGGCAGCCUGGCGGCCAUGGGCGGCCGGGAGCACCAGUACAGCUCGCUGACGGCGGCGCGGCCGCUGAACGGGACGUACCACCAUCACCACCACCACCAUCCGAGUCCUUACUCGCCCUACAUGGGAGCGCCAUUGACGCCUGCCUGGCCGGCUGGACCCUUUGAGACUCCGGUGCUGCACAGCCUGCAGAGCCGCGCCGGAGCUCCGCUCCCGGUGCCUCGGGGCCCCAGUACAGGUAAGGGUCGCGCCGCAGUGUAGGGGUGCGUGACCGAGGUGCUGGAACACAAGGGGGUCUGGAGCAGCUACUUGACUGGUGUCCCGGAAUGGAUUUGCAGGACUGUGGCAGAAUGACCAGAGACUAGUGUUUUUUAUUGUGCGAACUAUCCCAGUUUCUUUCUAGGAAAAAGACUAACUUGCACUUACGUGUCUCUGAGUCUUGCAGAAGUUGGGGGGUCUUUGAUGAAUAUUGAGUGGGCAAUUGGGAAAAAUUGAAGUUGGGAGGGAACUGCCAGAGCCUUGCCUUGAGUUUUACCGCAUACCCCAGUUUGGACAAACGGAAUAGUGAGAUUCUGCUCUGGGAUAAGUUUGGAGGAAAUGUUAGGUGCUUGAUUUACUCUCUCCCCAAAUACACACGUAUUUAUGUACAAGCACUCGUGUGGUGUAUUUUCCUCUUGGGAAUGGGGAUUGAAUCCAGGGGCGCUUUACCACUAAGCUACACUCCCUGCCCGCUUAAAAAUAUUAUUUAAAAAUAACAUUGCUUAGUUGCUGAGGCUGGCCUCAAACCUGGCUGCCCUCCUGCCUAAGCCUCCCAAGUGGCUGGGAUUACAGGCCUACACUAUGGGACUAGGGAAGAAGGUAUUUAAACAAGUUCCAGGAGAGUAAAGGAACCCGGGAUCCAGUGGACAUUCCUGCCCCCUCAAGUGAGAGGAAAAAGAUGAGAGGACACCUAGAUUAGACAGCCUUGUGACUUUAUACUGAUGGUCGGCUAGUGGAUAUGUGUUAGGGUGGGUGGGGGUCUGGGGCUGCUACUUCCACGUGGCCAGGCUGGGAUCCAGGGAUCCAGGAGCAGGGCCACCUAUUUUAUUCUUCCUCCAGAGUUUAGCCCACCAUUUUUGCAGUUGUUCCAUUCAUAUUCUCAUUCCUGUGUCUGGGGACCAUUUUAGGAUAAAGUGGGAAAACAAAAUUGUCAAAUACGGAGAAAUAGAGAAAUACCUUAUUUUGGAAAGUGUUUGGUUCUGCCCUAGCAGGAGAAGGUCUGAGUCAGAUUGUUUGACUGCUUUUCUCAGCCCCAGCAUUCUGAGUCCUUGGUGCAUUCACGGGUCUUUUUGGUUUCACCUGUUGUUUCUAAAGAAAAGCAGAACUUUUACUGUUUGUUGGAGGUGAGUUGUGGGGAGAACUCAGCAACAGAAGUGACAAGAAAGGAGGCAUAUCAGUCCAAAGUGUCCUAUCUUGGUGUCUUUUGUGCCCCAAGUCUGGGCUUCUCCUAGGAGCUUCCAUUUAAGGAUAUGGAGGACUUUUAGGGAUUCUAAUUAGGUAAAAAGGGGCCUGAAAGUGAAAGAAGGGAUUUGAACAGCCCCCCUUGUAACAUUAGGGACAGGGCAAGACUUUUUGGUAACAAGUGCUUUCUCUUUUCCUUGAGGUGCUGGAGAUUGAACCCGCAGCCUCAAACAUGCCGGGCAAGCACUGCUCUCCUCUAAACCACAUCCCCAGCCUUUUUUUUUUUUUUUUUUUAACAUAUAGGCUUUUUCAUUUUAAUUUAAUUAAUUUGCCAGGUACUGGGAUUGAACCCAGAGCCUGGCGUGUGCUAGGCUAGUGCUGUACCACUGCACAUCCCCAGCCACUCUUCACUUCUUUCAAGACUGACCUAACUUCUCCAGUCCUGCAACGAUGGCCCUAGGGACCAUCUUUACCAACAGUAUGCGGAGCAGAGGCAGAGGACUCUGCUGAGAUUUGCCCUGUUGGGUUAGGUCUUGAGAGAUCCAAAGAUUGUCACCCUUUCUUCCAAAGAGGAACCCAUGUUUGGCUCCCAGAAACAGAGAGACUGCAUGUAAGGGAUCUUCAAAGAAUGAGAAGCGGGUGGUGGUUAGGUUGUGAAGCUGCGGUCCUGUUGAGAAAGCGGUAACUGCAGUUUGAGCAGGAUCCUGCAACUCUGCCUGUUGAUUGACAUACCCUAACUUGAUCUCCAGAUUCCUUUCCUCCAGGCUUCUAACAGGUCUCGUCAAGGUGGGGGGGGGGAGAGAAAGAGAGAGAGAGAGAGAGAGAGAGAGAGAGAGAGAGAGAGAGAGAGAGAGAGAGAACACAAACACUCUAGUCUUCAGAUGUUGACAAUAACUUGAUUCUGUAUGAAAAAUCAUUUUUAGAGUAUAAUGUGGUCACAGGCAAGUUAGAGGUUUCUUUUGGUUUUAAACUUAGCCUAUUCUUUUCCUAAUUUUUACACCUUCUGGGCUUGACACUAUAAAGAAAUCUGCAGACAGAAUGUUUAAAAAAAAAAAAAUCAGGGUUGGAGGUGAAGGGAUUUGAAACACCCAGAUUUUGCAGUCUUCUAAGAAAGUAGGAAGCGUCAGGGACCAAGUCAGUAUUUGAGGUGAGAGGGUGAGUGGCCCUAACUUUGCUUGUCCUCACAGGUGUUCUAAUGCCAGCUUCUAUCUAGAUUUCCUGUUCUCUUUUAAUUGACUUGAGCAAACAUCAGGGCUAAAACCUGAGUGCUGAGCUUUAUCAAGCUGUACAGUUUAGAGGCUUUUGGAAACCCACUCCCCCUACACCUUUCCCUGAUUGUUGGUGGAUGGGUUGGGCUCAUUCUGGGAUGAGCUCUGAGUACUCACAGCCCCUCUUUCCCUGGUUCUCAAUUCCCCAGAACUGUGCUCCAUUUGCUGGGUGAUGGAAUCUGUCACUUCCCAAGAGCAUCUCAAACAGCCAUCUCAGGAGAGCAGAUGCAAGCUUCCAGCACAAUUAGAUUUUUGCAAAAUUUAGGCAGUGUCCCGCCUCUCAUUUAGAGUUAGAAAAGUCUACCUGCCUGGGUGUGAGUAAGAGGUAGAAAGGGAAGGAAAGAGAGAAAUUUUAUUUAAUUUUUAAAAAGCAAAUUUCCUAGAUUUUAUUUUUCCAAAAAGGACUUUAAAUUUUUGUUUUUGGAUUUUCAGGUAACUAAAGAGGUCUACCUGGGGAGUUCACACUCUUUUCCAGGGAAUCUGUUUUUAUUGUUCCCAGGAGAGGGGAAGAGGCCAGGCACCUAGCAAGUCGGGUUUUCCAGGGAAUGCCCCACUCUUCUAUGGAGAGGGGCUCUGAUAGGUAACAUUUUAAAGUCAACAACAAAGACAAAUACCUUGUUUAACUUCAGCGUCCUUGAAGUCCUGAGGAUUUUACUGAUUACCGCAGUCAAUAGUGGCUUUUAGGGCGGAGAAGAAUAAAUCUUUGUGAUGUGUUGUAAGUUGCAGUAUCCCAACGACAACUUUGAACUCGGCUGGUGUAGGAUGCUAGUUUAAACCUAAGAAAUAACUUGAAAUGAGGAAGGCCACUUGUUUUGUAGGGUAAAUAUUACUAAUGGAUUAAAGCAUUUUAAUGCUAAAGUCAUGCUCAAAUGUCUUUACUGCACAAUCGCUGGUAGAAGCAAACUAUCAGCUGCAGGAGAAUGAGAAGGAAUAGAAAGGUUUGCUAGCACACUUCAUCUUCAAAUAAAACCUCAAGUGUAAUAUUUAUUUACUUUAAACAGUAAUUCAGAAACAUGCUUCACGAAUGCAAAAUUAGAACAUUUGAACCCUCUAUAACAUAAAGAGCCCUAAACAGUAGGAAACAUUUGUUUUUCAAGAGUAUAUUUAGUAAGUACUUAUCUAAUUUUAGAGGAUAUUUAUUAUUUCAUAUUUAACCUUCUCAAAGGGAAGUAAUAAAUGUACAACCAUUUACCCUUAAUUCAGAUUUGUUUUUAAUUAGCAGAUCUAGGGUACUGCAAAUUCCAAAAUCCAAUCAAUGAUUAAUUAAUGUAAAGUAAUCACAUUUAAAAUAGAUUGCAUAAAUUAAAAUUUUAGUGUAGAAAAAAAGGUGGUUUUAUUUAUCGCUGAGAAGUUCUUAGUAGUUUCUCAACCAGUAAAGUAUUGACCUUUUGUAAAAAAAAUUUCAGAAUGGAAUAAAAAUAUUUUAGCGUUUGAUCUUUGUGGCAAGUGAAUAAAACUUUUAUCUCAGCGCCUUUCCCCCCUUGAGAAGACCUGAGUUACUUUCUCAUUGACGUUAAGUGUCUUCAGAACGGUACUUGUACUUUAACUCAUCUAUUUUUUAUUGGGGAAAAGCCGUGUAAGAAGGAAAGGUUGUAGACUUAGAAAAUACUUUAAAAAUUACUUGAUAAAUAUAAGGCAGCGUGUCCUGGGGCAUUUGUGGGUUGCAGCAGGGGUGAGUAAUCAUUGUUAACACUGCGGCUUGCUCGGUUUGGCAAGCGGGAAAUUGUAAUUAUGAUGAAUUUUAGUUUUAAAAAUCGAGGGGACAGCCUGAGAGUUAGGGGUCAGGCUGACCUUCCCGUAGCUCAUCUCAGACUCUAGCACUGCCCACGACUUUCCCGGGAAUUUCUACCGGGGGCACCGCGAGGGUACAGAAGUGUGGGACUAAUGGUCAGCAAAUCCAGGGCGACACCAUCAAGUUCCCGGCUUGGCCGCCGAGGGGAAAACCGCGAUCCCCAAGGGCGCGGGCGGGGAUGGUGGCAGCGCACCUCCCGCGCUGGAUGUGGGGUCCCGGGGGCGUUCGGGUGUUUGGGGAGGCGCGGGCCCCGCGCGGCCUCACGGUGCUUCUUGUCCCCGCUCUCGCCGCAGACCUGCUGGAGGACCUGCCCGAUAGCCGCGAGUGCGUGAACUGCGGCUCCAUCCAGACGCCGCUGUGGCGGCGGGACGGCACCGGCCACUACCUGUGCAACGCCUGCGGCCUCUACAGCAAGAUGAACGGCCUCAGCCGGCCCCUCAUCAAGCCGCAGAAGCGCGUGGUGAGUGUGAGCGCCGGGCGCGCCCCGCGGGGACAGGUGCGGACUCCGAGGCGGGAGCCGAGCGCACAGUCCCAUACGCACCAGUCAUUCCCCGGCCUCCAACCCUCGCCCGCCGGCGCCCCCGCGGAGGUGACCCCGAAGCCACCAGGGAAGCCAAGACAGGCUUUCCUCCUUUGCCUAUUGAAAAUGACAUUUCUAAAUGGCAAGAAAGGAAGGUGUUGCUAGUUUUUUUUUUUUUUAAGUGCAAAAAGUAUUUACAUAUCUCGCUACUUGCCAAAGCAGCGAAUUAAUUCUCGAGGGAUACACAAGACAUUGGGAAUGGCUAACAUAGGGGGUGGAAAACGGAGUAGACCUACCCAGGCCAGGAGAAGGAAGCUUGGAUCUGGUUUGGAUUUUAUUCUGGGGAGACCAUGCUCUCUUCCAACACCCCCUCCGCCAGUACCCGCUUCCCUCUGCUCCUUACAGAGCGCUCUGGCUCCCUUUUACUUUGUUCUUUAUACCUCUUUACCCGUCUGCCGCUCAUCCUGGGAAAAAGGUUUAUCCCUCUAGGUUCCUGAUGUCUUUGGAUUGCCCUGUACUCCAGUGAAAAUUGAUUUACCCAAUCCUUAGUAAUUUUGAAAAAACAAAACAAAAAAACCUACCCAUACAUAGUACUUGAGAAUAUGUAUGUUCUCAGAUUAAGGAUUUUCACCAAAUGUUAUCACGUUUUAAUCAUCUUUUAAAGUAUGGCGAUGCCUGAUUUUCUUCAGGCAUUAAUCUCGCAUUGUCAUUGUUAUGCGUGCGUAGUAAGAGAGGGUAUGCAUUAUUAUAGUGAUCAGAGAAAAUAAAUUAAAUCUUCCAGGAACCCCACUUUAAAGCUAACAUUUGUUUAGCCCAAAUGCUCAAUAGUAUAAAUGCCUUUAAAAGUAAAAUAUUUUACAGUUAGAUGUCAGUCAUCUUAAGUAUCCAAGUAAUUUAUUUAAUUGUUAUACUCUAAUUAGCAGAACAAAUGCUACACAUGUUGUUUGUGUUAAAUAGAUUAGAGUGAAAUUGCAUCACAAUGUAAGUCUGACACCUUAAAGAGAAGUAAUUAGCUUUACGGUUGGUUUGUUUUUAAUGCAUUUAAAAUAAAGUGGCUGGCAUUAAUUUAAUGAGUGUAUGUGCCUUAAACUUGUUAAAGCCUCCCACAGCUUAGAAUUUUAAGGGGUCCCUUUCAGUGUGUGACUCUCUAAGGUUAUUUUUCUUAUAUGCAUCCUAUUUAAAAUGUAGUCACUGGAAAAUAUUCCAAGGAAGUUCCUUGUUUUCACAUAUUAGACAACACAUGAACAAUGAAACUAUUAUUAAUUCUGUAAAGCUACAUUGAGCUAAGCACUAGUUGAGCUCUGAAGGGUAACAUUUUGUCAAGAUUGAGAAAAAAAAAACCUUGUUAAGAGUAGCCAAUUUGGGUUCUAGUUGAAGUAUGAAUUUGAUCUAGUGACUUUCCUAUGUAGAUAGUGCCAUUUAUUUUUGCACAUGUAGCAGUAAAAAUAACUGUUACUAGCAAGAAACCCGUUUUUAACAUUUUUGAAUCGGUUUUCUUGCUUUGUGGCAGGUGUUUUGAUGGUAACCAAGGUCAGCCUGUAUGCUUUGUAAAUGAGUUAUAAAUGAUACCAAUUGUAGGGUGUGUCAUUAUCAAUUAGUUCUCCUUAUGGGCUUCUUAUAUAUGGUUUUGAUGGAUCUGACUUCAUUCUCAGAAACAGAAUGUUGAACCCAAGUUUGUUUAGCCAGCAAUACAGAACCAAUCACUGUGAAUUUGAACUUGCAAUACAUUGCAAAAUAAGAGAUUUAUGGUGUAACUUGAAUUCCUUGUCAGUGAGGAAUAUAACUGAGAUCACUUGUUACAAGGAACUUUUAUAACCCAUUCACCUUCAUUUCACAUGUUUAUGAGGACUGGCUUCACUUAUGAUCUGCAGUUGACAGUCAUAAAGUUCUUUGUUAUAAUGGCAAAUUCUGAUAACAAGUUUGCUUCACAUUGGCUCCAAAUUCCACUGGAAACUGUCAUAAAUGGCCUGUUUGUAAAAUGAAUCUUGCCAUCCUUCGUUUACUGAUUCACAUUUAUGGAGAAAAAAAUAGUGCUUGCCUAGAAAAUGGUUUUCUUUUAACCAUAAAGCAGCUCCAAUGUGUAAGGUUUUGUAAUGUUCUCAACGUUCAAAAAAAGCAAUUCCCCUAUAGUUUUCCUAUCCGCCAAAUAUGAUCAUUUUAACCAUAUUCUAAGAAAUCAGUGCUAUCAGUGCUAAUUUUUAUAGUGCUAAAAGGCUCACUAGUAUCUGUUUUUACAAAAUAACUGUAAAGAAUGUUACUAAAGUAAUACAACAGGAUGCAAAAUGUAAAUGCUAAAUUAAAUGUCAUUAUUUAAAUUUUCCAGCAGAGAGUUAGACAUCUCUGUUUUCUAAUCUGGGAAUAUUUGAUACAAGCUCAAUUAAUAUUUUUGUUGUCCAUUGUUUAAAAGAAGAUUAAAAGAAGAAAUUACACAGUAUUUCUAGCUCCCCAAAUCUUGUUAAGCUUUAAGAGUAAUUUAAGACAAGUUUUAAUGGCAUUUUAAAUUUGAUAAUUGAAAAACAAAUUUUAUGUUUUUUCAUUCUGGGGAGGAGAUUAUACUAGUUUAAAUUCUCCUUUAUAAUUCAUUUGUAGUAAUUUACAGGAAAUGGAGCAUAUUUCUUUCCAAACGUUUUAGACUUUUUUGCUAAGAUCUGCUUUUGUUCAUGUAUACAGGUCUUUUUAAAGUUUCUGGUUGAUUUCCCUACACAUGAAUGAAAAAUUGACUUGGUUAUCUCAGUUUUUCAGGUGGACACUACCCAAAGCCAUUUAGUACAUGUAGCUGCUUUAUGAUUGUAUUUCAUGACUGAUGUCUCAACCUAUGAUAGUAGAGCAUGACUCUCCAUGGUGGGGGGGGGGGACUCUCACCUUAAUGUCCAGUUGUAUUGAUACUUUUGGUGCAUUUCAGAAUAUAACUCUUACUUGGUAACUUAGGAAGUCUUCUAGUUUCCCUUUAAAAAACAGCAGUAAGUGGAAAACUAAAUUCUUGGAGAGGCAACUACUGUUGAAACUCUCUGUGUGUGAUGCUGGGGAGAGCUUUGCAUGGAGUAAUUGUGUGACUGCUUCCCAGUUAUUCAUUCUGUAGUUUACAAGGACAGGCUGGAAGAGCAAAUCAAAGGUAUGGCAUCUAGCACCCUGUGCAAACCUAGUUUCUUGGUUCAGGGAACUCAACCUAAUUAUAUUCCAAAAUUUUUUCUCAAGUGAUAUUUCAUUUAUAAAUAUCAUUAUAAAUAUUCAUUAAUACAUUAGGAACAUGCAGAGCAAAGAUGGGCAUGAUAUACAGGUGUAUAUAUGGGACACAACAUUACAGUUAAAAUUCUUCAACGUCAUGUAUAUAUUUCCAUAUUUCCACUUACUUUCUUUUGUUCUUUUAUAGCCUUCAUCACGGCGGUUGGGGCUGUCCUGUGCCAACUGUCACACCACAACCACCACCUUAUGGCGAAGAAAUGCUGAGGGUGAACCUGUGUGCAACGCUUGUGGACUCUACAUGAAACUCCAUGGGGUACGCCCUUUAUUCUGUAUAUCCCUUUAGUCUGGUUUCCAUUACAAAACAUAAUCAGCAAAUGAAAGGUGCCAAAGUGAGAAAUUUGAAUGUGUAGAUAGAUGUACCUCUUUGAAUCUAAGAGGCUUUCAAUUACAAUAUGUACCAGUAAAAAACAAAUUGCUGCCUGUUAAUCACGAACACUCAUCAUGAGACACAUUCCAAUUUUAGAAAUAUGAAAAUGUGAAAUGUGCAUUUUAAGAGUUGAUGACGUGUUAGUAACUGUUUAAGCUUGUGAGCGAGAAAGCCAAUGAGAAAUGCACAAUAACUAGUUUACAUCUUAAAUUUUUUAAUGCAACCAGAGACAUUUGUACAAAGGAGGAAUACACUUGAUAUUUUAGUUAGAAUGACUUUGUCCUUCAUUUUCAAGGACUACACAAAAUAUUACCUCAAUCACACAAAGAAAAAUGACUUACCUUGUAGGAGGAAGAGUACAUGCUCUCUUUUUAAAAUAAAAAACCCAAUAAAUUUCUAUUGUAUAAUUAAUAACAUCAUUUCAAACAAUAAUCUUUAAGUUGAAACAAUUAAAUUCUCCUUGGUAUCCUCCCCCCCAUUCCAGCAUUUUUCGAAGCUGGGGAUCAAACCCUUGUGCCAGGAUGUAGGCAGGCACUCCAUCACUGAGCUGUCUACCAUUUGGGCUUCAUCCCUUAGCCCAGUCAUCCCCUUUUCUCUGAAGGAAUCUUUACAUUUGAUGGGGAAAGUGUAGUCUUGUGUUCUUGGAUCUAUGGAGUAUAUACAAAAAUGGUUGAUGCCAAGUUCUUUUGCAUGAAGGCUUGUAGUACCAAUGUUGGGUGUUUAGUUUGGUUUUCCUUCCAUAUAAUACUUAUUAAGGCCUAUGUGGACAUUUUUUAGGUGCCUCGACCACUUGCUAUGAAAAAAGAGGGGAUUCAAACCAGGAAACGAAAACCUAAAAACAUAAAUAAGUCAAAGACUUGCUCUGGUAAAUAUAAUAAAAUGCCCUUUGAUUGUAAAGUAUUUGCCUGCUGUCACAGUAAGUAUGUGUGUGUUUAUAAAGUUCAUUUUGACUCUUGCAGGUAAUAGUAAUAAUUCUGUUCCCAUGACUCCAACUUCCACCUCUUCUAACUCAGACGAUUGCAGCAAAAAUACUUCCCCUCCAACACAACCAACAGCCUCAGGGGUAAGUGUUAAAACAGAAUAGACUCCUUCAACUUCGUGGGUUGCUCUCUAGUAAAUUAUCUCAAACUUUAUCUUAUCUGGCAGUACAAUAACCUAAACCAACAGUUUAGUUAGUUGAUACCUAAGAAUAGUUUUUAGAGGAAGUUACAUUUAAAUGUCAACAAAAUGACAAACUUAAGUACUUUACAAACCUCUUAAUUAAGAUCUCUAUCAUUUUUUUUUAUGGUUAAAUUAACCCAAAGAAAAGAACUUUUGAAGAGCUUUAAACUGUUUUAUUUCUAGGGUUUUUUUUUUUUUUCUAAUCAGAGUUGCUUCGCUCGCUAUGUGUAUUUCUAAUAUAGAUCAGGAAAAUUGCCAGGCCUGUGGUUCCACAGGUCCUGGGCCCAUGACAUUGAAGUUGCUUUUGCUUAUGUCAACUCUGGCUGUCUUUCUUUUUGUUUCUACCCAAAGUGAAACUCUUCUUAAUGUGUUCUGGGCUUCUGCAUUCACGGAUCUUACUUCCCCCAACCUUCUUGCUGGGAGACCUUUCUGCCUUCAUUGUACACAGGCCUAAUUCAGUCACCGGCGGCAGCAGCAGCGGUGGGGGCUGCCUGGGACAGGAGAUCAAGGGGUCUUUGUGAAUAUCACAGAGUUAGUUUCUGUGGAGCUAUGAUCAAAAUUGCCGUCCAUAAGUAAAGAGCAUUGUCCUACCUUAAUGUUUCCCAGAUUCACCUGGAAAAAACCACCUGGCUUUACCUGAGACCUCAGUGAGGUCAAGGGCAAGAACUCAGACAAGCAGAACUUUACUUUUUUUUUUUUCUUUUACUUUCUGUGAUCUCAGGAAUGAACCCAGGGCCUCGAGCAUGCUAGGGAAGUGCUCUUCCACUAAGCUAUAUUCCCAGUUCUCCCGCAGGACUUUAAAAUGUGCCCUAGUGAUGAUUCUUAGGUUUACUCUAAGAUUAGUUUAAUUGUUUUCUACUUUUAGUUUUCUUCUAAAAUUGUUCGGGGGCACUUAAAAAUACUACAGAUUCCUGGGCCCUGCCCUGGAUUUUUGAAUCUUAAGUCUCUAGGGGUGGGGCUUGGAAAUUUGUGUCUUUGAACAAGCUCCCCAGGUGAAAUUGAAACUGCUACCCUGGAGUCCUUGGGGAACCAGGAAUCUAAGGACCUCUCCGCCUCCCCCACUCUCCCCUCCCCUGUCAUAUUUUUAGCUGACUUUAACAAACAAAAAUGAUGCUUAAAAUUAUAUUUGCUUUUUCUUUUUGUUCACCAAUACAAAUUCUCUUGAGCUUUUUCUUUAAUGAAAUAAAAUAUCUAAUUAAUUUCACAAGGGAAAAAACUUUUCAUUUGUCACAGACAUAUGUUAAAGAACCUUUCUAGAAUUGAUAAAGUGUAUUUUUUUUUUUUUAGCAGGAGGAUUAGAUGUCACUUUGAGGAUCUAAGGGGUAAAUAGAAUUAGUUACUUGUGGGAAACUAAAAGGUCAAAAUUAUUUAAUCCUUGGAGGCAAUUGCACAACUGAAUGAGGCAAAAUGGUGUUUCAGAAACUAAGGUAUUGAAGGAGGCUAGGUUUUUGGCCUUAGUGUCUGUGUCCUAUCUCCUAUGAGCAUGCUGCCAUCUCCAAAUCUCUGUAGAGUGUAGAAAGAGCCUAAUUUAAAUGAUAAAUGGCAAAGACACAUAUUUGACCAAGAAUGGGCUUUGGGUUCUGGAUGACUUUGUAGGUGGAGUCUGGUUUGUUCUUGUGGUUUUGUGAUGCAAAAUUUCAAAAUUGGCUUUCAGCAAGUUCAAUCAGUUGCCCUCCAGGGAAAGGAGGGUGAAAGGCACCCAAAGGAGCCCUAGUCCCUUUGGUGUCCAGGACUCUAACCUGGGACUGAAUUCCUAGAGGUAGCUUGCAGGUCAGUGCCCUCCCGGAUGAAAGAUUAACUCCUCACUAGAGACCAGGAGGCAAAGCAAUUGGAUUUUUCAGGUUGGGGGAGUUUUGAGAGUAGUUUUACACAAGGUCUUUUACUGCAAUCUUCAUUCCUCCCACAGCCCAGGCAGCCUCCAUGAGACCCUGGAAGCUAGCGGUGGCUGGUGUAGGCUGCAGGCUGGGGGGCAGUGCCUGAAGAUGAAGCUGGGCUGUAGAAUUUCCUGGCAGCAUUUCCCAGGGUAGGGGUGGGGUUGCCCUCCCACCUGCCCAUGCCCCUGGACUUCUCUUCUCAUUCAGAGGGCACAGGGCUGACACCCGGGCUUGCAGGUUUUCCUCUGAUGGUGUUGUCUUAUCGUGGAUGUCUCCAGAUUACUACCUUACUUGGUGUUGUGUGUGUGGGGGACCAGGCCUAUUUAGCAGAUGCUCAUCUGCUGGCUUCAUUUGGAAACCCUGUCCCCCUCUAUGAAUAAUUGCAGUGGGUGGAGUGGUUUUGCCAGAAUGCCUGAAUGUGCCUGUAUCUGAUGUCAAAGGGCAGCUGGGUUUGACUGGUCACCUAUAAUUGUGUAAAACACUAUAGGUAAGGGAAAUCACAGAACCCCACAGCAAGGUUGAAUCUGGGGUUUAGAAAGUGAGUGCAUCAUACAGCGCUUUCAUUGGCUUAGGGUUUAAACCCUGGAUCCAUCCCACUGACUUCCAGUGCUCUGUGUGACUGUGGUAGAAAUAGUAGUGCCGAUGCCCCAGUUUUAUGGGUCUACCAGGCUGCCAACAAAGGACAAUCAAAGGCACACUGUCAGUAGAAGAUGGGGACCAGGGACCACGCAUCUCACCACUGAAGGAUGUACAUGGCAAUACAACUGCCUUUCCUAAGUGACUGUGAGUUACUGUAAGGAAGUUGAAGAAAAUGGUUCCAGAGGCCUAUGUCAAACCCUGUGUUCACGUAAAUCCCCACUUUGAGAAACAAGUUGCAGGAGAUCCCUAGUUGGCAUUCUCAGCAGGCUUCUUGCUUGUGGGCCAUUUAACAUGUAGGCACAGGUUUGUGGGUUCUGUUGGCCCAGGUAAAAGGGGCCCCAGCAGCUGAGUGUCCUGGAGGGAGACUGUUCUAAUUGUCUGUUGCCAUGAGCAGUUGGCACUGAGAGAAGCAGGAAUGGAGGUGUGGGCAGGAUUCCUAGCACAGGGCAGGUAAACUUUGAAGUGUCCUAGAAAUCAUUUUUGCCCAUCUCUGAUACUAUUUCUCUGACUAAUUUUUGGGUCUUGGCUUUAUGUACUUGCUGCUGAUUUGUGCUUCAACAGACCUCUGCUUGGGAGAAAAGGAGACAUUCCUUCUGAUAAGUCACCUGGUUGAUGACCUGGUCACCUUGACUCAGUUUCUCGUUGUUGCUGUGCGUGUGAGGUGUGUAUGCAUUCGAGGUAGAGAGAGAACAAGUUAUUUUCUGCUUGAGAUCAGGAAGACUCACUGCCAGGUAGCCUAGUAUUAAAAUAUUGCUGUUUUUGUUCCUUAAAUAUGUUAAACUUAAUUUUUGAUAGAUGGCUGGUUAAUUCUGUGAAAAAAAAAAUCUAGUCUUUCUUUCUGGCUAAAAUUUUCAUAUUGAUAUGGAUUUACUGAAAAACAUAAUUGACUGACAUAAAUAGACAUCAGAUUUCCUAUGGCAUUUAUUCACUAUGGAAUAUAAGGAUAUUAAAGUAUUUUGAGUUCCCUUUUUUUGGUUAUUGUUAUUUAGGAGAAAAACUUGAUAAUGUAUUCUAUGUUAGCCAUUCUCAAAUGAGAUUUAAUAAGCAUUCUAUAAGUUUUCUCAUCCGUCUAUGGCUUAAAACUCUAAAACUGUAGGAUAUUUUAUGUAAACUUUAUAGCUCAGUCUCCUCCCAUCCCGUUUUCUUGAGGUACUGAGUAAUGAAUCCUGAGGCAUUUUACAACAUCCCCAGCCCUCUUUUUUUUUAAUUUUUAUUUUUAAUUUAUUUUUUUUAAAUUUUGAGACAGGAUGUCUCUAAGUAACUAAGCCUGGCCUCUAACUUGUGAUCCUUCUGCCUUAGUAGUUAGGAUUCUCCCAAGUAGUUAGGAUUUACAGGAGUAUACUACAGCACUUGGCACUCCCCAGAUUUUGUAGAUUAAAAAUGUCUUUCUUUAUUUCCUUUGGGAUAGGAGAGAGUAAUUUAGGGAUGAAAUUAUCACUAAGACUUAAUAACAAAGAAUAGGUAGUCACUGAACAUACUUUGCCUAAAAAUAGUUUAUAUAAAUAAUUACUUAAAAAAAAUAAAACCUUCUUAGGUUGAUGUUAAAACUGCAAAUAUAAUUGAAGUCAUCAUAAUGUGUAAUACUGAAAUAAAUUUGGAGAUGAAAAAUAUGUGACUAGCCUUUGCUUGUAGUUGUUAAGCAUUACUGUAUGGAAAGCAGUUUUUUUUUGGGGGGGAGAGGGAUACCAGGAAUUGGACCUAGGGGCACUCAGCCACUGAGCCACAUCCCUAAUCCUCUUUUUAAUAUUUUAUUUUGAGACAGGAUCUCACUAACUUGUUCAGGGCUUUGCCAAAUUGCUGAGACUGGCUUUGUGACCCUCCUGCCUCAGUCUCUGGAGUGGCUAGGAUUAUAGGUGUGCCCCUCGCUGGGAGGCACUGUCUACAAAUGAGGAAACGAGGUCCCAUAGGUCCCAUGCCUGGGAUUGGUCAUAGGUGGGGGCAGGUGUAGACAGAUCUCACUGCUGGUCAGAUUUGGAUAUGCUGAAAUACUGGAGGAGGCAGUGAAUUCUGGUUGUAGACUGUUCCCCCACCAGUGCUGAUAUUGAACCUAGGGCCUCCUAUCUAAGUUAGGCAAGUGCACUACCUCUGAGCCACAUCUCUGGCCCUUGACUACAGAGGUGGAAAUGCCUUAACAGGAGUAGAAGGUAUCUGAACUAGUUGGGUGGGACUUGUUCAGGGAAAAGUGAAGAUAGAGUGUGCAGUACAGUAGGUGUAGGAAUCCAUGGUACUAAAGGGUGUAGGUUCAGGGUGGCUGGAGUGCAGGGUAUAAGAAGCCAAAGGCAGGACAUGAGUUUGCUCAGUGAAACAGGUGGAAAGAAGAUGUAUGGCAAUAUUUCAAUCCCAUUCAAGUCUCCUGAAAGCAGGACCCAGACUCUGCUCAUUUCAAGUUGAUGGGCUUUGUCUAACCCCAACUUUGGUGAUAAAUGCUUUUUCUGUCUGUUGGAAUUCAACAAUGAAAACAUCCUUAAUUGUACCCAGGGGCUCUCUACCACUGAGCUAUAUCCCCUUUUAUUUUUUUUGAGACAGGGUUUCACUAAAUUGCUGGGGCUAGCCUUGAACUUGCAAUCGUCCUGCCUCAGCCUCCUGAGUUACUGGGAUUACAGGUGUGUGCCACUGUGCCAGGCUUAAUUGAGAGUAUUUUGAUAAUUGACUUAGUAAGCUCCUGCUUGUUCCUUUCACAAAGAAGGUUUUUCUUUUCACGUCAGUGGAGAAAAAUGUUUCUCCAGUGUUGAUUAUAUGCACUGACCUCACGCAGAAAUUUUUCUCUCCAUGGGCAGAAUGGCUUGGGUGGCUGCCUGGGUCACUUCUUCUACUGGAAACAUAAGGCCUGGUGUGUUGGUGAGAAGAAAUAGGUUUCCUCACUUUUGUGUUUUUUAUUGUUACCAGUUGGGAUUACAGGUGCUUUAUAAGGUCUUAUGAAGAAAGCUUAGGCACUUUGUAGGCUAAUUAGGAAAAUUGCUUUUUAGAUUUUAUUUUCUGUAUGAACAUUUGCAUCCCAAAGAGGAAAUUAGAAAAUAUCCACUUUGGUCCUAUAGCUUACUAUUCAUUUCUUCCUGAAAAAAAGCAUUCAAUUUGGGCUGGGAUUGUGGCUCAGUGGUAGAGUGCUCGCCUAGCACGUGUGAGGCCCUGGGUUCGAUCUUCAGCACCACAUAAAAAUAAAAUAAGGUAUUGUGUCCAACUAUAACUAAAAAAUAAAUUUAAAAAAAUGCAUUCAAUUAGUAAUCAAAAUUAGGAAGGUUUUUUUUUUUUUUUUCUUAGCAAAUUUUUAUUUCACUUUCUUUCUUACGCUUUGGCAUAUCCUAGAUUUACCAGGGCAUUACGAUUUGUCACAAGAUAAAGACCCUUAAAGGGCUGAAAGGUAAAUUCAGGAAAGAUUUAGGUUGCACUGACAGUGUGAGUUGCUUUGCCUGGGCUGGGGCGGAAAAUUACUGCUUUACUCGUUGCUCUUUUGCAGUGCUGGGCAUUGAAUCCAGGGCCUCACACAUGCUAGGCAAGGGCUUUAACACUGAACUACUCUCCCAGCCCUGCUUUACUCUUUUUUUGUUGUUAUUUAAUUGAUACUGGGAAUUGAACUGAGGGGUGCUUAACCACUGAGCCACAUCCCUAACCCUUUUUUAUAUUUAGAGACAGGGUCUUGCUAAGUUGCCUAGGGCUUUGCUAAAUUGCUGAGGGGGCUUUGAAUUUCCUGCCUCAGUCUCCGGAAUCCUGGGAUUAUAUGUGUGUGCCACUAAGACGGUUCUGUUUCACUCUUCAUUUGAAUAUUCUGCAAAACUCUUUGGAGAAGCCAACCACUCCUGGAUUAGUCUUUUAUCAUCGACUCACUUAUAAGAUAGUAGGGAGGUGGGAAACUAGUUUCUAUCAAGUACCUUUUAUGUGCCAAAUGCUUUAGGUGCAUUUUUCUCUUUUAACCCUUCUUCUGAGUAAGGUACUGAUCAGGCCCAAGGACUGUGUCAAAUUAAGAGACAAUGCUUCCAUUUGGACCCAGGUCAGACUGAUGCAGAGUUAGCAUUGUUCCCACUAGAACAUAGAGAUUACUGUGAUCUUAAUGCAUCUCUUUGAAAUCUUUAGAGAGAAGAAAUAAUGUUUUCUUAAAAAAAUUUGACUAAUUUUGAUUACUAACUUCAGGAUCAAAUAUCCUCCCAGUAAAGCAGAUGGGAAAACAGUGACCAAGUAUGUAAAGCCCUUAAUACAAAUUUUCUUAUCAAUAUUAUACUUAGAAAUAAAAUGUAGUGUAGGACUAAGAAUAUGGCAGGUAGAUGAUAGGUGGAAAAAUGCUGUUUAUUAUUAGUAAAAUUAGUAAAAUUAUUAGUAUUAUUAAAUAGUAAAAAUUCUGUUGUCGAUGUACCUGAUAUGGUUAUAACAAGGUUCUUUUAAAAUACAAGAUUGCAAUAAUAACAUCCUCCUAGUGGUGUGAUUUAAAUUUAGACAUAAGUUUUGUAAUUUAGGCUAAGUUGUGUAACUUUUCAGAAUGUUUGAAUUGCCUUCAGUUUUUGUGGACUCAUUAAACAAGUAUUCCUUAACAGGCAAGUAUCCCUAACCCCCCGACCCCCCCCGCCCCCCCGCCACCCUUUCCAGAAUGUUAUGGUCCAAAACACUCUUUUCUAAAUGAAUAAUAACAGUAAAAAAAAAAAAAGAGUUAAAAAAUCAUUAAUCUCUGACAAGGGUCUGAGAAAGAGUUGCGGUUAGGUAUUAUUAUUGCCUCAUUUAUAAACCAGGAUCCCGAGUGACUCCAUAAGGUCACAAAACAAGCCCGUGUUGAAGCCGGGACUGGAACCGACGUCUCCUGCCUCCCAGUCCCCGUCCAGGGCUGUUACCCUUCCCUGGGAGUUGACCAGUCAUCACAGUUAUUAAUAUCCCACUUGCCACAUGCUACAAGCCAUGAACAUAAAUAUUUUUUUGGCAUUUUAUCUUCAUGCUCCUCGUGUGUCAGGCUCCCUUUCUGUCUCCAUUCACACCCCCUUCUAAAAACUCACAUUCCUGUUUGAACACAUUGGCCUUCACAUGAAAGUCACACGUCACCCUAGCAAGGAACGUUUCAGCAUGCAGGCUUUGUAUACUUUCAUUUUGAUCUCAAGGCUUUUUUUGGACGUGUGUGUGUGUGUGUACGCACAUGUACUAAGGAGAAUGAUAAGAAGUAGUAAUACAUUGUACCAUAUUAAUAGCUAAUGGCUUGGUCUAUAUGUUAGGAAACAGUAAAACUAUAUUGCUCUUUAGCUUGUAAUAUAAUAUAUAUGCUCCCCAGAUGUAACACAGAACUAUGGUUUAUAUAAGUGACUCAUUAUUACAAUUUGGAAGUCAGAGUACUAGGUAAGGAGUAAGUGUAAGCAGAAGUUAUUUGCCUUUUCAUUUGGCUUCAUCUCUGAUAUUCUUUUCUUUGAAACUUACAGAUUUUUAUUUUUAUUUUUUGCAGUUUCCCCCGCCUCUGUAAAAAUAUACAAAAUUGUCACAAAACAUGAAAUAAUGUUACGGGAAAACAUGACCAAAUUUAAGAAAUCUGGCUUAGGAUGCUCUGAAAUGUUAUUGCUAAAUGAAUCUUCGAAGAAAAUGAAUUCCCUUACUGGAACCAAAGUAAUUUAUUAUGCAUUUCAUGGGUGUCUGCCAAAAGAGUUACUAGCAAUAUGAAGAUCUAAUGGAUAUGAAUUAAGUACAAACUGGUAGCUCUCUUUACGUUUGGAGCUACCUGUUAAUUUUCUCUGAAACUUCAAUAAUUUAGAAAGGCACCUCCAGAGACAGGUGUUGUCAAUAGACAACACGUAGUUCAGCUGCUUACCAUAUGGGGCUUUAUCAAGGUCCAGUUCUCAGAAUUUUUGAGAACGAGCACCAAAAGGUUAUUUUGACCUCAGAAUUUUAAGAACCAUUUAAGCAAAUAAACAACAAGGCCUUGAUAUCCAUGUCGUGGUGGGGGUAAACAGAACCACAGGUGAGUAACUGCUGGGGUUUCACUGAUCACCAAUGGCUUGGUGGCGUGCUGUCUGCUUGGGUUGCUGGCAUCACAGGGUUUUACCUGAGCCAGGCCACACGCUCCAGAAUCUUAUUAUUAUUAUUUUUUUAAUUGAACACAAAGACUUUACGUUUAAAACACUCAAUAAAUUUAGUUGCUCGAUUUGUAGCGGUGCCUGUCUUGUGGCCUGAAGUUCAAUCUGGGGUCCGUGGAUUAGCUGCUGAAAGGAAACAGAUUCAGGCAGCCAGGAGAUAGCUCCGCCUCGGUCCGUGCCAUGAUAUGCCAUGAUAGCGAACUGCCAAGGUUUUCUGAAGCCUCUGUUUUCCUUCUAUGGCAGUGGGGGUAGGGAGGGGGUGGGGGGUGAGUAAUUCCUGUUCUCUGGCCCUUAGAAGUAUUGUGUGGUAUAAUCAGGAGAUGCCUUCAGACCUCUUUGAAGAGCAGAAAGAGUAGCACUACUUAAAUUUGAUCAUGAAUUAAUAGUGAAUUAAUCAUGAAUUAAUAAUGAUGUGUUUUAUUUGUAUGGCUUUUUUUUUUGUCAUCCCAAGACAUUAGAAAUAAAUCCUUACCUUCCUAAAGGAGAAAUUUAGAGAUGUAGAGUUACUGUGUUAAGAAGGAACCAUAUUUUAAAGCUUUUUAUUUCUCUGAUGCUUGGUACUCUCCCAAUGCUUUCUGUGGUGAGAGAGUGCUUUGUGAGUGCUACUUGGUCCUUUGACCAUGGUUGUGUUUUCUGUCAUUGUGAUGGGAAAGAUGAAAAUACUCAGCCAAUCUUCUGAAAAGCCAGCUUUGUUACAAAACUAAAGAUUAUAAUUCACCAGGUUGCCUCAGGAUUCUUGACCAUUUCAUUUGAGGACUAAAAUAAGAGUACUCCAUUCUGGUCAUUUCAGAAGAUAAGCCUUGAGCCGUGGGACAGACCCUCCCCCUGGCCAUCUAUCUAUAUUUGAACAUCAGCAUUUUGCUGAUAAUUACAGUGGACUGGUAAAUUUGGAGUGCCCCUAAUGCUUGCUAUUUUUUUUUUUGGUCUGGGUAUUGAACCUAGGGGUGCUUAACCACUGGACCUAUUUUCCCUCUAUCCAAACUGAAAUGAGCCUCAUUUUUGUAGUGGAAGUGAAGAUCUCCAUAAAAGCCUUGUCCCUGUGCUGGAAUUCAUAGGCAGCUUUUGAGGAAGGCAGCUAUAAAGCCCUGCAGGAGCCUAACAUCCCUAGCCCUUUUAAAAACAUUUUUAUUUACUAUAUUUUAUUUAGUGUCAGGGUCAGACUAAGUUGCUUGGGGCCUCACUAAGUUGCUGCGGCUGGCUUGUCACUUGCAAUCCUCCUGUCUCAGCCUCCCAAGCCACUGGGAUUACAGGCGUGCAACACAGUGCCUGGUCAUCCUUGCUGUCUGAGUGUGCACACGUGCAUAAAACACUCUGUUCCUUUGCCCAGAACGACUUGUGGGUAAAGCGUCGAGCCCCCCUCCUUGAAAAGGGGCACCAUCCUGUGGCCGAGAUAUAACUUGGCCCCGGGGGUGAAGGGCAGCCAGAGAAAUCCCCAGUAAGGAAUCUGCUAAACUACAAAAACAUCAUGAAACUGUUCUGCUGAAAACUGAGUCACAUCAUCAGCUAAAGGUGUCAGAUUCUUUUGUGAGAAAAGGUGCUCAAGUUCUCUUCCUUUAUUCAACUGUAAUGGGAGAAUCCGAGGAUCUUGUUGUGAUUGACGAUUUUCACAUGUCCUUAUUCCUGUAGCUUUCCUGUUACAUCUGUGUCUGGACCUGUUUCCCCCUCAUCCAUAGAAACUGAAAUGAGCCUCAUUUUUGUAGUGGAAGUGAAGAUUUCCACGGAAGUGUUCCCCUCUGCUGGAAUUCACACGAAGCUUUUAUUUUGAGGAAGGCCGCAGGAGUCUAACCUAGAGGUUACAAAAGCAGAGGAGAUUUGUCUGGCAGGCAGGGAUGACUGGCUUCCCCUCCCACCAAAAAAACCUGUGGGCUGGGGGUGUAGCUCAGUGAAGGGUGCUUCUCCCAGCACGCACAAGGCCCAGGGCUUGAUUCCCAGCACAAGGAAAAAGCUAGAACCUCAAACUCACUUAGAUCCGUGUAAGAAGGGCCAUUUAGUGGCCAUAGCCUGCUGGGAGUUCUGGAGGCAGUGUGAUCUCCAUCAGGGUCUUAGCCCUGAGAAUGACCACACACUUACCUGUACACAAGCCGGAGAACCCACUUUAUCCUUCUGGAAAGGAUAUGCCUGUAAAAAAAGAAGAGGGCCUACGGUUUCCCUUUUCUGUCUCUAUGAAUCCCCACAGAGGCCGAACUUCAGUCCAUCUUUCAGGGAGAAGUCAAGGAAAAGAAAGAGGAAUAAUAUUGUUGAGUAGCCUGUUAGAAACAUUUUUUUGGGGUACCAGGGAUUGAACUCAGGGGCACUCAACCACUGAGCCACAUCCCCAGUCGUAUUUUGUAUUUUAUUUAGAGACUGAGGCUGGCUUUGAACUCACAAUCCUCCUUGCCUCAGCCUCUGGAGCCGCUUGGAUUACAGGCAGGAGCCAGAAACUUUUUUAAUAUUUAUUUUUUAGUUCUAGGUGGACCCAAUAUCUUUAUAUUUAUGUGGUGCUGAGGAUCAAACCCAGGGCCUCACGCAUGCUAGGCAAGCACUCUACCUCUGAGCCACAUCCCCAGCCCAACCAGAAACUUCUGUUGGACUUUUAACUACAUGUGUAUCAAAUCAGAAGUUUGCUUUUUAGAGAAGUGUCCAAAGUCAGUGAAGGCUUAUUCUCAUAGGAGGCAAUCUGGGUGACCUACAGAUAACUGUGCCUGCUUCACAGGCUGGGGCAUAUUUUCCCAAUCUAUAGCAGCCCAGCUUCUCCCUGGAGUCAUUUCUUCCUUUGGGAGGGAGUUUUCCAGCCCAGUGGCGCUGCCUGUCUCCCACCUACCCUGGCCUGCAUGCAGUGCUAAGCCCAGGCUGGGUCUGGUGCUGAUAACACAUUCUUUCAACAGGAAGUGCCUCCAUUUUCAGUUGUCUGUGGGAGGGUGGAGGGCAGAUAAGCUGUGAAUGGAAACACAGAACAGAUUUCUGCUCCACCCUCAUAUUGCACUUUGAUCGGGAGGGAGCAAGGCCCUCUGCCUGGCCCGAGCUGCCUGCCCAGCCUCGGGAGGAAGGAUGGGUCAGCUGCUGGGCAUUCUGUAGAGCUCUUCUCUACUUUUGUUCAGGAACAUUUGUUUAGGUCUGAUUAGGUUUGUGGUGUGUCUGCUUUUGCUAUGUUGAGAUGUCUGCCAUCUGAAGUCCUUUGAAGGGUUUAAUUAGAUGUGGAAAAACACUGACCAACUGAAAUUCUUACAUUGUUUUUUUUUUUUUUUACUGUGUGUGUGUGUGUGUGUGUGUGCGCGCGCGCAUGCAUGCAUUUGUGUGUACGUGUACUGGCUGCAGAGCAUAACGAGCCAGGUUUCUUCAGGAGAGUUGCUGUAGUAACAUAGACCAGUUCUGAUCCCAUGUUCCUCUGAUGCAUGGAUGUAGUGUUUUCCGUGUUUUGACUUGGCUGCAGUGUGUUUCACAUGUGCAUACUUAGCCAGUUCCCACAUGGAGAGAUUUCAGGGGUUCCUGGGGCAGCUUCUGUCACUCCAUUCCCUCUGUGAGUCCCCUCACUCUGAUUCUUCCCUAGUUUUUCAAGUUAGUUUAUGACCCUGCCCUGGUUGGGUUGACCCUUAAGUGCUUAUGCAUAUUUCUGGUACGAAUAUCAUUUAAUUUUCCCUGAAGUUAGAUUGUCUUAGCUGCAUGUGAUAGUACAUGCCUAAAUCCCAGCAAGUCAGAAGGCUGAGGCAGGAGGAUUGCAAGUUUGAGGCCAGCCUCAGCAAUUUACAAAGCCUGAAGCAAUUUAGUGAGACUCCUGACUCAGAAUAAAGAAAAUAAAAAGUACUGGCGAUGUAGCUCAGUGCCUUGGUACAAAAACAAACAAACAAACAAAAAAACCCAAACAAACAAGCAAAACAAAAACAACAAAAAAAACCUCCAAGAUAAGGUAAGCUGUAGAUUUGGCUCCCUAGUUGUUGUGCCUCCCGCUGCUCAGCCUCUAGAGCCGCUGGGAUUACAGGCUCCUGGCACUGCUGCUCAUGGAUUCCCUUGUAGUACUUGACGCUUGUGCAUGGGACAAAGAAUUCAUAUCCUGCUGUUUUUCAUUUAACAUUCUAUGAUUGGAUUUUUCCAUUUUGUUACAUGAUCUUAUUAUUUUUAAUAAUUGCAUAAUCGUUCAUUGAGAGUGUACCCUGCUUUUCCAAAUCAUUUCCAUGUUAUUAGACAUUAGAUUGUGUCCAUGGCUUCCACUACCAGGAGAAGCCUGGCAGUGGCUGGCUUCCUUUGUGGAGAUUUUCCUUUCUCUUAAAUGAUUUCCUUAUAAGGGAUUUCCAUAAGUGAAGUUACAGGGUUAAGCCGUGUUUAACUUCUUGAUGGCCCUGGGCACUACUGCUAACUGCCACCCUCUGUAAGGCUUGUACCAGACUCUAUAGCCCCACUAGCUAUGGACAAGGGGACUGGGGUACUCACCUUACAGUAAUAUUUCACAUUUAAAUAUUAUUAUAUCAUCAUUUUAAGGUUAUCAAGUCAUGGACACAAGUUCUCUUUCCAUUUUCCCCCCCAAUUCUGGGCAUCCAACCCAGGGCCUUGAGCGUGCUAGAAAAACUCUCUACCACUGAGCUAUAGCCCCAGAGAUCACUCACAUAAUUUGUGGUUUGUUGGCCCAUUGACCAUAUGUCUGACCAUGGUUCUGCUGUAGAGCUUAACUUUUAAUCUGAAGAAAGAAAACAGUAGUUAUUUCAACAGGUGGCUUUUGGGAUAGUUGCUUAGGUGAAAGAAUAAUAUCCUAUGUUAAUAAGGGCUUUAUACGUCAGGUAUUUAGCUCAUUCUUGUAACGACCUUAUAAUGUAGGGCCUCUUAUUUCCAUUUUGUGAGGGCACUGAGGCACAGAAUGCUUGAUGCCAGUCCUGCUCAGUUACCUCUCCGACCUGAUCACUUUCCAUGUCCUUGCUGAACCCUUCUGUUCCAGCUGGCUUCUCUGCUGAAUAGGCCAGGUGCCCGCUGCCCCACAUCCUGCAUGUCCUCUUAUUAGAACAAUCUUUCUCACCAGUCACAUUAACUUCCUCUUUGGCUUGUUCAGCACAAUAGGGAUCCUGCUGAGGAUGUCACAAACAUGAGCUCAGUUAAUUGCUGCAGUCAUACCUGUGGCAGGUAACACGAGGACCCACAUGUAGAGGAGGCUGCUGCAGGAGGGGACUGCACUCAGCAGGUGACCUAUCCAGGGCAUGACUUUGGAGCUCAGGUUCAUUGCCUUCGCCCAUCACGGAGGAAGCCUCUGCAGUUCCUUUUCUGACUCUUGUGCUACUACUUCCUUGUCUUAGUGACUCACUGGCCACGAUAGGCCACUGAGUGGUCUUGCUCUGUCUAGUGUGGAAGUGUCCUGGCUCUCCCCGAAGCCAGGAGCUCCUAGUUCAAGUGCAGGGCUCUCAGUGAGGGCUUUGCUAACAGUGUUCCUGGUUGCUGACUGUGUGGUGAAGUCAGCCCUCUACUGUCUUAGUACCUCUGGCUGUUUCUGGUGGGCUACUUCCAAAAUAGCACUUGCAGUCAUUUAGUCAGAGACCUGCAGAUGUGCUUUUAUGGAAGAGGUAGAUCUAUGCAAGGCUGGGUCUGACAUCAAUCAUUAUAAGGGAAUUUGCUUUCUUUUAAUCCAUAGUUCCCUUUUUUUUUUUUUUUAAUAGUACUAGUACCAACGCAGGAAAAGUGCUCUCCAGACAAGCUACAUCCCCAGCCCUUUCUUUUCUUUUUCUUUUUUUCUAUUUUGAGACAGGGUCUCUCUAAAUUGCCCAGGAUGACCUCAAACUUGCUAUUCUCCUGCAUCACUCUCCCAUGUUGCUGGGAUUACAGGCAUGCACCACUGUGCCCGGCUUGAUAGUUCCUUUUAAAAACAAACCAUUCUUUUGUAAUUGAAUAUCAUCCUUUGGUUUAUUUCUUUGGGGGUUAAAUCUGGUCCUGCAUUGGAUUUGCUCAUAGUGGGAGAUUCUGGAAUUAAGAGCUAACAUUAAUCAUGUUUAUAAGUAUAACCAAAUCCUGUGGGUUCUGUUUGUUUGACAGGAUUUUGCAGUUAUUUCAAAGUUUUUGCAAGAAUCUAUUUUAAAUUUCAGACAUCUCAAUAACUUGGUGAAAAUCUCCUUUUUUCAUGAAUCCAAAGCCCUUGCUCAGUUUUUGUUUCUACAUUUGUGUUAUUUAAAGUUUGGGUGUGGGGUACCAUUGUUCUUAAUUUUCAUAAACCCUAGUUUUGCUAGGAAAGGGGAGGAUCAAUUGGUACCUGUGGAGGACGUUUGGGUGGGCAUAGAGCGAGUUGGGGGACUAGAACUGCCAGGCUUCUCUCCUACACUGUGCCUCUGCUUCAUAGAGGUGUUGUGAGAAGCAAAAAGCCAACCAGAUCUUGCUUGGAAAAAGGAGUCCAGUAGGACUACAUUUGCUUCUUAGGCACGAAGGCUCAUCCCAAGUGCAUUAUUCAGCUCUCCCGUGUCUGGUGUUCUGGGUUUCUCUGAAGUGGUUGUAACAAUCAGGUAGCAGAGAAAUCUGUUUGCAGGAUUUAAUUGGAUUAUGUAUGCAAAAAUGUAAAAAAAAGUUCGAAAAGUGAAUGAAACAUUCUAUUUGUCUAAUAAAUAUUCUAUAAGGUAUGAAACGGAACCCUAAAAACUUGGAAGCAAAUUAGGAGCUUCUGAGCACUUAGAAGGAAAAAUAUGUGAUUAAAAAGUACAUAGUUCUGGCUAGAUUUUUGAGAAACUCUUUCAAAUGCAACUGUUUCUCAAACUGCAGCCUAAACCGAUUCCAGUUAUUUUGGUUUGAUUUUACUCAAUUAUGGAAUGUUUAAUAUUUGGCUCUUCUCUAUUGGAUGGGAGGAAUGAAUGAAAUGGGAAAGGUGAACUUUUGCCUCAAGAAAUAAUGGCCGUACUCAUGACAGAUAGAGGAUGUUAGCAUUUUCUUUACGACGUGGUCUGCUGCAAAUAUGGCCUGUUCUUGUAAAGACUUAAGGUAAAUGAGGUCGAUAUUAAAAUCUGUCUAUGCAUGGGUUUAUUUCCAUGAAGUCAGUGCACAAAAAUUUCAUGUAUCAGGGAAUGUUGAGCUGUGUAGCUUUCCUUUUUAGACUUUGACAUAAUCUCUGUGUGUGUGUGUGUGUAUGUAUGUGUGUGUCUCUGUGUCCUCAGUGCUCUGCAUUUUGUCUUUCAAAGUGAUUAGAUUGUGUGAGCAUCAUUUAGGCCAUGCAGUGUUUACCUGUGUGGUUUGGUUUGUUUCACUGUCAGAGAUCUUUGAGUUUGGCACGUUUAUAAAUAGGAUUCCUUCAGUUCCCCUUUUCCUUGCCUAGUUCUGCAGCUUGCUGAGUGGUUAGUUACUGAGUGCUCUGAAGUGAACAGGAUCAAAGCUUAAGUUGCCAGGGUCAGGUCAUUGGCACAGUGAAGCAUCUUGUGACAUGGUGACAAGCUCCUGCUUGUUCCGGGUAGGGAUGAGAGAGGCAGACUUUCUUUCUUUGUCCUGGGAUGCUCCCGAGAACAGCCCUCAUCCUGGCUGCAAUGACUUCUCCUUUGUUUUGUUUUCUUACUUUUUUUUUGGGGGGGGGGAAUAAAUUGAACCCAGGAUCCUUAACUACUGAGCCACAUCCCUACCUCUUUUAAUUUUUUAUUUUUGAGACAGGGCCUCGCCAAGUUGCUGAGGCUGGCCUGGAUCCUCCUGCCUCAGCCUCCCUGGAAUUACCCUGCUCAUAGGUGUUGAACUAGCAGGAUUGGGCCAGCUGACAAAGUGAUGCAUAAUAACCAUUUCUCCUUCUCUCUGUCCCCCUGUUUUGCCAGGCGGGUGCCCCAGUGAUGUCUGGUGCAGGAGAGGGCACCAACCCUGAGAACAGCGAGCUCAAGUAUUCAGGUCAAGAUGGGCUCUACAUAGGCGUCAGUCUGGCCUCGCCAGCCGAAGUCACAUCCUCAGUGCGACAGGAUUCCUGGUGUGCUCUGGCCCUGGCCUGAGCCCCUCCCGCCAAGAGGCAGGGAGGGCUCCACCGAAGUCCUUGCAUCUCUUAUGUCUGAUUUUUGUCCAGCAGCCCAGAUGGUGACAACGAUGCAGACAGAACAUUCCUCCAAUGUGUGAUUUCUGUGCCUUUGUUUUGAAAGAGAUAUAUUUCCCCAUGAAGCUUGCUAAAAGAAUAGAAGAUGCGACUCUUCCAGGGAAGGGCUGGUGCAGCAGGAAUAUGGCCUGCUUCUUCUAGCCAGGGCCACCUCCAGCCAGCCUUUCUUUGGGUCAGCUCCUGCGUAGUUUGCAAAAACUGGGACGAGGGCCAGGGCCUUGCCUGCUAAGGAAGAUGGACAGAGAGUCUUGAAAACAAGGUUUUACGUGCAUUGCCCCCAUGUGUUUCUUCUAAUCGAUUUUGGUUAUUCCAGAAUUUAUUCAUACCCGUUCCACACGCAGAUUUCACAAAUGUUCAUGGAGAAGAUCAUUGGAGGCCAUUUGGUACACAUCCUGGAGGCUGAGUGGGUUCCUGGAACUCUUUGUCAAAAUUCCUCAAUUUGCAAGGCUGCAUAGUAAACUCUAAUGUACACUGUGACUGACAUUUCUCGAAGUUCAUCUUGUGUGACUGAUCUGAGGUCAGUCGGAAUUUGUAAACAGGGUAGCAAACAAGAUAUUUUUCUUCCAUGUAUACAAUAAUUUUUUUAAAAUGUGCAAUUUGCGUUGCAGCAAUCAGUGUUAAAUCAUUUGCAUAAGAUUUAACAGCAUUUUUAUAAUGAAUGUAAACAUUUUAACUUAAUGGUACUUAAAAUAAUUUAAAAGAAAAAUGUUAACUUAGACAUUCUUAUGCUUCUUGUACAUCCACAUCCCAUUUCUAUAUUCCCAAUAGAAAAACUAUUUCAAGAACAAAUCUUCUCUCAGGAAAAUUUGCCUUUCUCCAUUUGUUAAGAAUUUUUAUACAAGAACACCUACAUACACCCUUUCUUUUACUGUGGAAUACGUGCUGGAAAAAAUUGCAACAAAACUUUACUACCUAACAAAUAGCAUUUGUAAAUAUUCUAGGCAUCUGUAAACACUCUGAUGAAGUCUGUAUAGUGUGACUAACCCACAGGUUGGUUUACAUUAAUUUUUUUAAAAAAUGGGAUGUCAUAUUGAAAACUAUUUCACCAGAGUUUAAAAAAAAAAAUAAAAGGGUAUUGUUUUUGUCCUGUACAGCGAGUACUUUCCCUUUUACUUCAUUUGGAUGCUGCAUAUGGUUAUAGAACUUCAUAUAAAACAAAGGCACGUGGUGUCUGCAAGCUGUCUUUUUUUUUUUUUUUUCCAAAAAUUGUCCUUUGGAAGCUAUUGUGUACUUUGGUUUACUUGAAGUUGGCACAUGGAGUUAGUUGUCACUUUCCAAUUGCACUGGAGACAAUUUUAUAGGUGAAGAGGACCCACUAUUGAAUGACAUUGUCUGAGAUAUCAGCAUUUUGUUUAGAAUCAAUGCUUGAAAAACAUUUUCCCAAGUCCGGGGUGUUUUUUCCUUGUGAAUGAAAUAGACUCCGUGACCCAAGAACAGAAUGGGUUCCUUUAUGGUUCCGCUGUUUUGUAGAGAGCCAUGAAGUCUCAAAGCUCAUGUAAGCUCACAAAUGGUCUGAACGGCCUGUUUGUUUUUUCAUUGUUGGGUGGAUUCCAGGAAAUCAGAAGUCAGUUCCAUAAUACGAAAUGGUGGUAUUUAACUUGGGCUCUUUUGAAUGUGAGGCAUUUUGAACUUUUUUUUUCCCCAUGUAUUUAUUAGAGCCAUUCUGUGAGGUUCAGUCUGAAUCUUUAAGGGAAUCUUCCUUAAUGGGAGAUGCCUCUCUAUGUUAAGGAAUGGUAGGUGAUGCUGGUGGCCAGACUUGGGCUGGUGUAUGUGCUUGUGUGUGGAUCUGGGGAUUUCACGGAAAUCCACAGACACCCUGCUCUAACCCCAAGGACUAGAACAGUGGUUCAUAGUGCUGAGAAUGGAAUUAGACCUUCAAAUCUCUUCAGGGCAAUGAACCAGCUCUGUGAACUUGGGCCAGUUGUCCAACUUUCAUUUUUCUAAUGUUGUAGAAUAAGGCAAAUGGAGUAUAACUCAUGGGCUAACCUGAGAUAAUCCAUAUAAAGUACACAGUGCCUGGUACAUAGUAAGCAUGAAGUGUUAACUUGACUUUGGAAGGCAGUGGCAAGAGCUCUCACAAUGCGGGUGCUUUGAAUAAUAUCUUAGUCUCAGAAGUUUAUGGUCUCUCAGAGUCUAAUGUCCCUUAGGUCACCCGCACUUCUUGAAUAAGGCUGAGGAGAGAGAAAUGAAGGAUUCUCUCAACCCAGGGGGUUGGCAGAGUUGGAGGGAGGUUGCCUGAGAGAUUCCAGUCUGCCUGGGGCUGAUAGUUUUAUAGAACAGGGCUGCUCUGACAGCAAAAGAAAAUUAUUACCCUCAUGAACUGAUUUUUUUUUUCUUUUCUCUUACGGUUCUUAUUACUUUGAGUGCUUUCUGGUGGGUUGGGAGUUGUUAAAGUUAAUGUGCUUUGAUAAAAUUAAUAUGCUUUGACUGAAAAAUGAAUUUUUCUGAUUGUGGCUUCCAAAUAAUCCUUUUUUUGGGGGGGGGGCUGGGGGUGGUCUUAACUAUUGCUCUUUUCCAAUCCUAAGAUGUCAUUAAAUUGCUAAGUCCCCUUCCUUUCUUUUAGAAUACAAAGUGAGAAAAAUUCUAGUUGUCAUGAAAUAAAUUACAAGAGGCAGAAGAAAGGGAAGGGGCUCUUUUUGUUGUCUGUCCUAACAACAAACUCUCCUAAUCUGGGCCUUUUAAAUGACGACUUUCUUACCUGUGGUUGCAUAAAGCAAAAGUUCCAUAAUUGGUUCCAAAUAUACAAUCUCCACACGCCUCCCUUAAAGUAUGUCAUACAGAAAUAAAAACCAAUGAUCUCUUAUGGUGCUCCUUAGCUUAAGAGAUCCUUAGACCCAUUAGUGUGGGUUACAGAAUUUAUGUCCUUUGUCACCCUUGGGCUGAUGUUAGGCCAUCUUAUAUAAGUGAAGGCUCUGUCUGGAGUCUCUCUCUUCAGGGCCACUUAAUGUUGCUUCCUGGUUCCUAUGGGAGGGUCAGGAAAGCAAAGGGAGCCAUUCAUUUCCCCCUGCAAAUAAAUUAACUUCUUGCUCAUGGGAAAUGUUUUCCUGAGGCCUUGGAAAUUUGAUGUAAUUUCAGAUCAUAGAUAAAUUAGCUGCUGGGAGGGCAACUCAGUGGUGGCUCUGCUGGAUUCCAGUUUGGGGCCUUGUGGUGGCUUUGGAGUAUUAAGUUUUACGGGCCCACAUUGUCUACGGGUUCUUGCAUCCCAGUGACUCAGAAGAAAAUAUGAGGGGCUGAGUGUGAGGGAAAGAGGAGGCAGAGAGCAGACUAUCAUUCACAAUCAGGCAGCUCUGGCGAAUUUUUGUUUCUGGAUUGAAUAAUAAAUCAGUCUGGCAAUACUAGUUAUCUCUUGUUGCUUGGAGGCCCUAAUUAGCAGUCAGGAAUUUGAUUAUUUUAUUUUUUUUGAUACUGAUGAUUGAAACCAGGGGCCCUUUACCCCUGAGCUAAUCCCAGGUCCCCUUUUUUAUUUUUUAUUUUGAGACAGAGUCUCAAUAAGUUGUUGAGGCUGUCCUCAAACUUUUGAUCCUCCUGUCUCAGCUUCCUGAAUUGCUAAGAUCACAGGAGUGUACCACUAUGCCCAGCAGAGUUUGAUUAUUUAAGUGGGAAACAAAUAUAGAAUAAUUUGUUAGACAAAAUUUUUUGAAAUAGGAUCUGUGGGUCAACCUCUGGUACCUCUGGCUGUGGCUACCUGAGGCCUUGCCCUGGAUCCUGUGUGGCUGAACCUUUAGCAGCUGGGCUCUGAGCAGGCCGCCUUUGACUGUGACCUGCAAGAAGAUGAUAGACAUUAUAGGACACGGAAGAGAGGAAAUAGGAAGUUUUCGUUGGUUCAGCUACAAGAUAUAGGUAGGCUGAAGGCCUACGUAAGUUCAUAGGGACCUGGUAUAUAUCAUUUCUAGUCUUCUCAAACAGAUCCUAAAGGACAGUUGUUAGCAUGCUGCAGAUGCAUGUUGAACCUCUGAAACUCACAUCUGAGUGAGUAUCCAUGUUCUCCCAAGUAUCCUACAGCAUCUCCCACAUCUGCAGGAGCCAGAUGACAGCUGGUACUAUACUGUUCUCAGCAGCUGUCAUAGGGAAGUAAGUGACUGUUACAUAGGUGAUAUUGCUAUUUUAGUUAAAGAGAGAUGUAUUGGGCUUGGUGGCUUGCUUUGUUUUUUUUUUUGGUACUGGAGAAUGAAACCAGGGUCCCUUUACCACUGAGAUGCCACAUCCAUAGUCCUUUUUAUUUUGAGACGGGGUCUUGCUAAGUUGCCCAGACUGGCCUCAAACUUUCGAUCCUCCUGCCUCAUCCUCCCGGGUUGCUAGGAUUACAGGUGUGCACCUCCAUGCCUGGUACUUAUUUUUUUUUUAAAGAAUGAACGUUUUAAAAAUGGUUAAAUUAUAACAAUUACAAAUGAAAUAAUGUUUGCUUAGUAGGAGUGUUUGCAUUUCAGUUAUCAGUGGUCCCCUCUGUUAAGAUAAUUAUCUAGAUAUCUAGUGACUUUUGGACAAAGUGUUUCCUCUCUCUGGACCUCCAGACAUCCAGCAGUGUUGUCUCAGAAGUUCCCGCCACCUUCCUUUGCAUCCCAUGGUCCCAAGGCAAAUUCUGUGUUUAGUGAUGGUGUGUCAAGUGAUGUGGUCUGAAUUUGAGGUGCCUCAUGAGUAGGAGGGAACUGGAGUCUCCUAUCUCUCUUCUUGCUGCCUCACCUCCUCAAGAGAUGGUCUGUGGAGACCAAGGCCACAGAGGAUGAGAGUCCUGGUCAUAUUCAUGAACACGGGGAUGGUAAGAAGUGCCAUUGCCUCAACACCCAGCCUGUUCGGUCUGAGGCUCCUGAUACAAAACAUACAGCGAUACAAACCCAGACCGGAAAAUGGAAAAGUCUAGUAGCACCACAGUCCGUAGAACAAGGAAAAAACAGUUUUGCUUUGCUUGGCCCAUUGCUUCAAUAUCUUGUGGUGGGUUUUUUUAUUUCUUGGAAACACCAACUUUUCGUUGCUUGCUUUCUGUGCCUUCUCUUUAGCUAUUCCAAAUUUUUCCUCUCUCUUUCCUCCCACUUCCGCAGACUUUACUCAUUUUUUUUGUGAAUUCUUGUCCUUUAACACUCCAAGACUGAGACAAUAAUGGUAAAUAUUUAGAUAGCACUUCCGAUGUGCCAGUUUCUAUACAGGGUACUCCACCUGCUUCCAUGGGUUUUAACCAAUAUUUUUUUGGUGAAUUCUAUUCCUUUAAUGCUCCAAAGACUGGUCUGAGAUAAUGGUAGCAAAUAUUGACAUAGUACGUCCCAUGUGCUGGUUUCCAUACAAAAUGUUUCACAUAUACCAACUGAUCUAAUUUUUACACUGAGUAAACAAGGCAGCACUCUCCCCAUUUUACAGAUGUAUCUACUGAGCACAGAGAAGUAAAGUAACUUGUCCAAGGUUCUACAGCGGCAGAGCUGUGAUUGGAACCCUGAAGACUGGCUCCUGAGCUAUUCUUAAUCACUACAGAAUAUUGUCUUUUCAUUUUUAUUGAAAGAUGAUGAAAUGGAAGAAAGAACACAGAGAGAAAGCUAGCCCUGCUUGGGAUUUGAGGCUAUGGUUCUCUCUUCUAACAUCUCAGAAAUGCACAGUGGUGAUUUGCUGACACAGGUAUGCCUAGAUUGAAGAAAAUUAGGACACAUGCAUAUUUCCUCCAGUUAGCUAUAAUGUUUAACCCCUGUUUUAUUUUGUUUGUUUGUUUGUUUGUAUUUGAGUCAGGGUAUUGCUACAUUGCCCAGGCUGGCCUCAAAUUCCUGGGCCCAAGUAAUCUUCCUGCCUCUCCUGAGUAGUUGGGAUUACAGGUGUGUGUUCCCAUCUCUGGCCUAGGUAUUUGCUUUCUAAGUGCCUGGUUGAUAGCUGGAUAAUGGUGAGUUUGGAGGUUUUCUCUAUCUCUGGAGCAAUUCCCUUCUCUUUUUCAUGUAACUUCAAGUAAAGCUUGUGAUCUUCUUAUCUAGCUUAAAAAAUUAGGGGAGAGCAUUUUGCAAAAUAUAGAAAGAUGGAGGAAUUAUUAAUAGUGGCUAAAACAGCACCAGAGAGCAUGAGGAAUACCUCAUCGUGGUGUAAAAUCUUUCUGUGCUCAGCUGUGCCAAAGAAUUUUUUUUUUUUUCAGGAAAACUUGCGUAAGAUUUUGGCAGUGGUGUCUUUGGCUUUAUCUUCUUUGGUGAGUUUUCAUUACUGCUUACAUCAUUGUUGCUAUUAUUACUUUGAUAAGUGUGCAUUACCAGUGAUGCUCUGCGCCAGGGGUUCACCAACUCCUGUGUGCACAAGAAUCACACACAGUGCUUAUUUAAAAUUGCAUGUCCUUCAGUCCUUCCCCAGAGAAUCUGGUUUUAUAGGCUCUGUGUCAUGGUGAUGAAAUUGCACAUUUUGGCUUUCACAUUCAUCAAAUUUCUUGGCUAGUACAAAAUUCAAAAGUCAAAGAUUGGAAUGCAGUGGAAAAUAAUUGUCUUUUCCACCCUGGUUCUCCAGCCAUUCAGUUCCUCUCCCAGAUGGAACUUCAACUUCUUGCAUAGGUUAUUGUUGUUAACUGGCAGUGCACACAUAAGUGUAUACAGUUAUCCAUAUUUCACUCUAUUUUUACAUGUGUGGUAGCAUGUUAUAAACAUUGCUUUGCAGUUUGCUUUUCUUUCUCUUAGUACACCUGUGUUCAUUAUUUAGAUCAGCGCCUGGUGCUGAUCUGUUCAAAUGAUGCUGCAAUAAAUAUGUGGUGUCUGUGUCAUUUUGCACAUAUGUAACAUAUCUAAAAGGUGAAUUUUUAGAAAUGGCAUUCAUUACUGGGUCAAGGGGAUGUCCUUUCCAUUUAGAUAGUUAUUGCUAAAUAGCUUUUCAGAGAUUGUCUCCUUUGUACUCCCCCUGGCAAUGUGACACUGUCUGUUUUCUCUUAGUCAAAUGAAUUUCUUAUCAAACAGAUCUUUGUCAGUCUUGUAUCUCUGAUUUUUGUUUUGCAUUUAUCUUAUUGUGAAUGAGAGUGAACAACUUUUCCUGUGACUAAGAGCCAGGGGUAGUUCCUGUUCCUUUUGGUGAACUCUUUGCCCAUCUCUGUUUAUAUCUUCUGCCUCUCUUUUUUUUUUUUUUGAUUGGGUUAUUGGCCUUAUUGACUUGUGAAGUUCUUUGAAUGUUAAGGAAAGUAGACUUUUGUUUAAAAUAUAUUUUAAAGAUAUGUUUCUUUUCCUGGUUUUUCCAUUUGACUUUAUACUUUUAAAAAAUUAUGUUAUUUUAUUUUUUUAAGGUAAUUCAAUUUGUCAGUCUUUAUGGCUUCAAACUUCUGUGAAAUAUUUAUGAAGGCCUUUCCCAUUCUUCAGAUUAUUUUUAUUUUAAAGAGAAAGAGAGAGAGAGAGAGAGAGAGAGAGAGAGAAUGAGAAUUUCAAUAUUUAUUUUUCAGUUUUCGGCGGACACAACACCUUUGUUUGUAUGUGGUGCUGGGGAUCGAACCCGGGCCGCACGCAUGCCAGGCGAGCGCGUUACCGCUUGAGCCACAUCCCCAGCCCCCCAGAUUAUUUUUAAAGAUCUGUUUUCUUUUAGUAUUUUUAUGGUUUUAUUUUGGAGGUUUGCAAUUUUUCCAUAUGGAAUUUUUGUUGUUGGUUGUUAUGAUGUGUAGACUAUAUAUUCAAUCUUAUAUUUUUGCAAAUGGCCACCUAAUUAUCUCAGCAUUAUUUCUUGAAUAAUGCAUUUCCCUUCUAUUAAUUAAAAAAAGGGAAUAAAAAUAUGAAAAAUCUCAUAUGAAUAUGUAUUCUUAUGUAACUUCUUAUGUGAAUAUACAUAUAUAUAUAUAUAUAUAUAUUUUUUUUUUAAGAGAGAGAGAGAGAGAGAGAGAGAGAGAGAGAAUUUUUUUUUAAUAUUUAUUUUUUAGUUUUCGGUGGACACAACAUCUUUGUUUGUAUGUGGUGCUGAGGAUUGAACCUGGGCCGCACGCAUGCCAGGCGAGCGCGCUACCGCUUGAGCCACAUCCCCAGCCCAUGUGAAUAUAUAUUUACUACAACUAUAUUCACUAUUUUUGGAUAUUCUAUUCUGUACCAAUGAUCCAUUUAUUUAAUGCUUCAAUACCAUGUUUUUUAUUAUAUUUUAUAAUGAAUCUUAAUAUUUAGAGGAUUUGUCAUUUCUCAUUAAUCUUACUUAAAUUUUUGGUCAUUAUUCUUAUUUACUUUUUAAUACAAAUUUUCUUUUCUUUUCACAGUGCUGGAGAUUGAACCAGGGACCUUAUUCACAACAGACAAGGGCUCUACCACUGAGCUACGCCCCCAGCCCUCCACAUGAACUUCAGAAUCAUCUUGUUCAGUUUUAAAAAGUCCUGUUGGUAUUUUCAUUGGAAUAAUAUUAAAGUUUUAGAUUAGCUCAUGGAGGAUUAGUAUCUUUAUUUUGUUAAAUCUUCCUGUCCAAGAUAAAGUAUGACUUUUCAUUUGUUUAAAUCUUUUCCUGUGUCCACUAAUAUUUUAAAUAUUUUUUCAUACAUGUCUUCUGCAUGUUUCUGGUUUUAUAAAGUUUUUAUAAAGUUUUUUUCUAGGUGUUUGAUGUCAGUAUAACUUCUAACUCAUUGUUGUGUCCAUUAAGACUAUUAUUAAGCUUCUUCCUCAGAAACAUUCUGAAUUCCCAUAUCUUUCUUCAGCCAAUUCUCUUGUGUUUUCUGAGGGAAUUGGCAGUUUAUUUGUAUGGCUGGUGGUUCAGGUGUUGGUGGAAACUGUGCUCUUGAUGUUUGAUUAAGGAAAUAAAUGUACACCUUAUACUGCAAUUACUCAAUUAAAUUAUGGAUUUAUAUAACUUUAGAGAUUGACCCUUUCAUCCUUUCUGAGGUCCAGAUG
rnacentral:lncRNA from 1 species